UACGGAGGGAGCUAGCGUUGUUCGGAUAUACUGGGCGUAAAGCGCACGUAGGCGGCGCAGCAAGUCAGGGGUGAAAUCCCCGGAGCUCAACUCCGGAACUGCCUUUGAAACUGCAGUGCUAGAAUCCUGGAGAGGCGAGUGGAAUUCCGAGUGUAGAGGUGAAAUUCGUAGAUAUUCGGAAGAAACACCAGUGGCGAAGGCGACUCGCUGGACAGGUAUUGACGCUGAGGUGCGAAAGCGUGGGGAGCAAACAGG
rnacentral:rRNA from 1 species